rnacentral:rRNA from 1 species
UACGUAGGGGGCUAGCGUUGAUCGGAUUUACUGGGCGUAAAGCGCACGUAGGCGGUUCGUUAAGUCGGGGGUGAAAUCCUGGAGCUCAACUCCAGAACUGCCUUCGAUACUGGCGAUCUUGAGUCCGGAAGAGGUGAGUGGAACUCCUAGUGUAGAGGUGGAAUUCGUAGAUAUUAGGAAGAACACCAGUGGCGAAGGCGGCUCACUGGGCCGGUACUGACGCUGAGGUACGAAAGCGUGGGGAGCAAACAGG